rnacentral:rRNA from 1 species
UACGUAGGGUGCAAGCGUUGUCCGGAAUUAUUGGGCGUAAAGGGCUCGUAGGCGGUUUGUCACGUCAGGAGUGAAAACUCGGGGCUCAACCCCGGGCCUGCAGUCGAUACGGGCAGACUAGAGUGCGGUAGGGGAGACUGGAAUUCCUGGUGUAGCGGUGAAAUGCGCAGAUAUCAGGAGGAACACCGGUGGCGAAGGCGGGUCUCUGGGCCGUAACUGACGCUGAGGAGCGAAAGCGUGGGGAGCGAACAGG